rnacentral:rRNA from 1 species
UACGGAGGGGUGCAAGCGUUAUCCGGAUUCACUGGGUUUAAAGGGUAGCGUAGGCGGGCAGGUAAGUCAGUGGUGAAAUCGUUCGAGCUUAACUCGGAAACUGCCGUUAGAUACUAUCUGUCUUGAAUAUCGUUGAGGUGAGCGGAAUAUGUCAUCGUAGCGGUGAAAUGCUUAGAUAUGACGAUAGAACACCGAUGCGAAGGCAGCUCACUAACCGAUUCAUUGACGCUGAGGCACGAAAGCGUGGGGAUCAAACAGG